rnacentral:rRNA from 2 species
CGGUGUGAUUCAUGACUGGGGUGAAGUCGUAACAAGGUAGCCGUAGGGGAACCUGCGGCUGGAUCACCUCCUUAAUCGACGACA